AAGGGAUAUUUGGUUGUAGCUGGCUCAUGAAUUUGGGCAUGUGCACACCUAUCUCUUUCAUCCACACACACCUGUGCACUUGUGAGGCAGAUGGGGAAUUUAUUGAUUGUUUUUUAAGAACAAUUGGUGCUGGACCCUCUGUCUACUCAAUACAUAAACUCAAUUUAUUUAGAAAUGAAUGUAAUGGAUGUAACGCAUCUAAUACUAAGUUUCAACAACGGAUCUCUUGGCUCUCGCAUCGAUGAAGAACGCAGCGAAAUGCGAUAAGUAAUGUGAAUUGCAGAAUUCAGUGAAUCAUCGAAUCUUUGAACGCACCUUGCGCUCCUUGGUAUUCCUUGGAGCAUGCCUGUUUGAGUAUCAUGAAAUCUUCAAAGUAAAUCUUUUGUUAACUCAAUUGGUCCUACUUUGGUAUUGGAGGUCUUUGCAGCUUCACACCUGCUCCUCUUUGUUCAUUAGCUGGAUCUCAGUGUUAUGCUUGGUUCCACUCAGCGUGAUAAGUUAUCUAUCGCUGAGGACACUGUAACAGGUGGCCAAGGGAAAUGCAGAUGAACCGCUUCUAGUAGUCCAUUGACUUGGACAAUAUUUUUAUGAUCUGAUCUCAAAUCAGGUAGGACUACCCGCUGAACUU
rnacentral:rRNA from 1 species